UACGGAGGGUGCAAGCGUUAUCCGGAUUCACUGGGUUUAAAGGGUGCGUAGGUGGGUUGGUAAGUCAGUGGUGAAAUCUCCGAGCUUAACUUGGAAACUGCCAUGGAUACUAUAGGUCUUGAAUACUGUGGAGGUCAGCGGAAUAUGUCAUGUAGCGGUGAAAUGCUUAGAUAUGACAUAGAACACCAAUUGCGAAGGCAGCUGGCUACACAAAUAUUGACACUGAGGCACGAAAGCGUGGGGAUCAAACAGG
rnacentral:rRNA from 1 species